rnacentral:misc_RNA from 1 species
CAAGAAUCCAAAGGGAAGUUUCUUACAAACUCCCCACAUUUCAGUUAGCUAGCUACUAUAAAUUAACUCAUAAUUACACCAUUUUCUUAAUUAAUUCCUCUAAAUUAAAGAAUAAUGGGUGUUGGAGGAACAUUAGAGUAUAUCUCAGAAAUGAUGAGUAUUGAAAAGCCAAAGAAGAAGAAGAAGCAGUUUAAUACAGUGGAACUUAAAGUUAGAAUGGAUUGUGAGGGCUGUGAAAUGAAAGUCAAAAAUACAUUAUCUUCCAUGAGUGGAGUGAAAUCAGUGGAGAUAAACAGGAAACAACAGAAG